rnacentral:rRNA from 1 species
ACUCAAAGGAAUUGACGGGGGCCCGCACAAGCGGUGGAGCAUGUGGUUCAAUUCGACGCGACGCGAAGAACCUUACCCAGGCUUGACAUGCACUGGACGGGUGUGGAAACACACCUUUCCUUCGGGACCGGUGCACAGGUGCUGCAUGGCUGUCGUCAGCUCGUGUCGUGAGAUGUUGGGUUAAGUCCCGCAACGAGCGCAACCCUUGUCCUUAGUUGCUAACGGAUAAUGCUGAGCACUCUAAGGAGACUGCCGGUGAUAAACCGGAGGAAGGUGGGGAUGACGUCAAGUCCUCAUGGCCCUUAUGCCUGGGGCUACACACGUGCUACAAUGGUCGGUACAAAGGGUUCCGAGACCGCGAGGUGGAGGCAAUCCCAAAAAACCGGCCUCAGUUCGGAUUGCAGUCUGCAACUCGACUGCAUGAAGUCGGAAUCGCUAGUAAUCGCUGAUCAGCAGGCAGCGGUGAAUACGUUCCCGGGCCUUGUACACACCGCCCGU